rnacentral:misc_RNA from 1 species
AAUAAUAAUAAUAAUAAUAAAAGCUUGUUGUAGACCUCCCCUCUAGCCAUGUCAAGGCUGCUUUGAUCUUGGUAGGAACCUCCUUUAUUCCUUCAUAAUCUGUAGAUGUUAGCGACGAUGAGUGCUAAGUUAACUUCCAAGGCAAUGAGCUUAAAGCAUAUUUUUUUCAUUGUUGUCAAGUGCAGCCCAUGCACUUCAAAAAUUUAGUGCAUAUCAUCACUGAAAGGCAGCGCCACACCAUUUUCUUGUUGGAGCGCUUGCAUAGGGCUUUACUUCAUUUUCUGUGUGCCAUUUGUUCCUUGUUACUUCUUGGAUUCUUUUAGCUGUUGCUUACAACCAUUUAAUUUCCAGAAUACUGUGAGA